ensembl:snoRNA LOC120098396 small nucleolar RNA SNORA17
CCUGCUGGUACAGGAUUGGCCCGCAUGGCUGCUGUUUCCUGUGCAUUAGAAGGUGGCAGAGAGGAGAGAGGUUAAGUCUAUGCUUAAGAGUUCUGACCUGUGAACUUCUGAAUGCCUAGUAGCCUAAAAUU